AUUGAACGCUGGCGGCAGGCCUAACACAUGCAAGUCGAAUGGUAACAGGAAACAGCUUGCUGUUUCGCUGACGAGUGGCGGACGGGUGAGUAAUGUCUGGGAAACUGCCUGAUGGAGGGGGAUAACUACUGGAAACGGUAGCUAAUACCGCAUAACGUCGCAAGACCAAAGAGGGGGACCUUCGGGCCUCUUGCCAUCAGAUGUGACCAGAUGGGAUUAGCUAGUAGGUGGGGGAAAGGCUCACCUAGGCGACGAUCCCUAGCUGGUCUGAGAGGAUGACCAGCCACACUGGAACUGAGACACGGUCCAGACUCCUACGGGAGGCAGCAGUGGGGAAUAUUGCACAAUGGGCGCAAGCCUGAUGCAGCCAUGUCGCGUGUAUGAAGAAGGCCUUCGGGUUGUAAAGUACUUUCAGCGGGGAGGAAGGGAGUAAAGUUAAUACCUUGGCUCAUUGACGUUACCCGAAGAAGAAGCACCGGCUAACUCCGUG
rnacentral:rRNA from 1 species